CACGUAGGGCGCGAGCGUUGUCCGGAAUUAUUGGGCGUAAAGAGCUCGUAGGCGGCCUGUUGCGUCCGCUGUGAAAGCCCGGGGCUUAACCCCGGGUCGGCAGUGGAUACGGGCAGGCUAGAGGUAGGUAGGGGAGAAUGGAAUUCCCGGUGUAGCGGUGAAAUGCGUAGAGAUCGGGAGGAACACCAGCGGCGAAGGCGGCAAACUGGAUAGGCACUGACACUCAACAACGAAAGCGUAGGGAGCAAACAGG
rnacentral:rRNA from 1 species